rnacentral:misc_RNA from 1 species
GUUUCAAAAAGGAUGGUGUUUAUGGUGUUGUGAAGGAUGUCUUCCUUCCAUGGUAUAAUGCAUAUAGAUUUCUGGUUCAAAACGUGAAGCGACUUGAGGCUGAGAGUUCUGUAUCUUUCGUUCCAUUUGAUCAUAGUAGGCUUCAGGAGUCCUCUAAUGUUCUUGACAAAUGGAUCAACUCUGCUACGGAAAGUCUUGUUGACUUCGUUCGGAACGAGAUGAAUGAAUAUCGGUUGUACACGGUGGUGCCAUAUCUUUUAAAGUUUAUCGAUAGUCUAACAAAUAUAUAUGUACGGUUCAAUCGGAAGAGGC